UUUAAAUGGCCGCAGUAUUUUAACUGUGCAAAGGUAGCAUAAUCAUUAGUCUUUUAAUUGAAGGCUGGUAUGAAUGGUUGGAUGAGAUAUUAACUGUUUCAAUUAAAAUAUUUAUAAAAUUUUAUUUUUUAGUUAAAAAGCUAAAAUGUUAUUAAUAGACGAGAAGACCCUAUAAAUCUUUAUAUUUUAUUGGGGUGAUAUUAAAAUUUACUAAACUUUUAAUUAAUAGUUUACAUUAAUUAAUGAAUAAUUGAUCCAUGAAUUAUGAUUAUAAAAUUAAGUUACUUUAGGGAUAACAGCGUAAUUUUUUUAGAGAGUUCAUAUUGAUAAAAAAGAUUGCGACCUCGAUGU
rnacentral:rRNA from 1 species